rnacentral:misc_RNA from 1 species
UCAAACUUGGUCAUUUAGAGGAAGUAAAAGUCGUAACAAGGUUUCCGUAGGUGAACCUGCGGAAGGAUCAUUAACAAAUCAUGUUUGCGCACGGGGGGACUCCUCCUGUGCGCAUAUCAGCCCGACCCGGGUAUCCGAAAGGCUAUUCGGGUCAAUCUUGAGGGGUGUGAGAGCGCCUCUUGGGACAUUUACGCUUGUAUUGUUUGACAGAGUAAACAUGACACCAAAAGAUACAACUUUUAACAAUGGAUCUCUUGGCUCUUGCAUCGAUGAAGAACGCAGC